AGUGAACGCUGGCGGUAGGCCUAACACAUGCAAGUCGAACGGCAGCACAGUAAGAGCUUGCUCUUACGGGUGGCGAGUGGCGGACGGGUGAGGAAUACAUCGGAAUCUACUUUUUCGUGGGGGAUAACGUAGGGAAACUUACGCUAAUACCGCAUACGACCUACGGGUGAAAGCAGGGGAUCUUCGGACCUUGCGCGAUUGAAUGAGCCGAUGUCAGAUUAGCUAGUUGGCGGGGUAAAGGCCCACCAAGGCGACGAUCCGUAGCUGGUCUGAGAGGAUGAUCAGCCACACUGGAACUGAGACACGGUCCAGACUCCUACGGGAGGCAGCAGUGGGGAAUAUUGGACAAUGGGCGCAAGCCUGAUCCAGCCAUACCGCGUGGGUGAAGAAGGCCUUCGGGUUGUAAAGCCCUUUUGUUGGGAAAGAAAAGCAGCAGGUUAAUACCCCGCUGUUCUGACGGUACCCAAAGAAUAGGCACCGGCUAACUUCGUG
rnacentral:rRNA from 1 species